GACGAACGCUGGCGGCGUGCUUAACACAUGCAAAUCGAACGGAAAGGCCUGCAGCUUGCUGCGGGUACUCGAGUGGCGAACGGGUGAGUAACACGUGGGUGAUCUGCCUUGCACUUCGGGAUAAGCUUGGGAAACUGGGUCUAAUACCGGAUAGGACAGCUGUUUAGUGUCAGUUGUGGAAAGUUUUUUCGGUGCAAGAUGAGCUCGCGGCCUAUCAGCUUGUUGGUGGGGUAAUGGCCUACCAAGGCGUCGACGGGUAGCCGGCCUGAGAGGGUGUACGGCCACAUUGGGACUGAGAUACGGCCCAGACUCCUACGGGAGGCAGCAGUGGGGAAUUUUGCACAAUGGGCGCAAGCCUGAUGCAGCGACGCCGCGUGAGGGAUGAAGGCCUUCGGGUUGUAAACCUUUUUCGCUCAUGGUCAAGCCGCAGCUUUGGGUUGUGGUGAGGGUAGUGGGUAAAGAAGCGCCGGCUAACUACGUGCCAGCAGCCGCGGUAAUACGUAGGGCGCGAGCGUUGUCCGGAAUUAUUGGGCGUAAAGGGCUUGUAGGCGGUUGGCCGCGUCUGCCGUGAAAUCCUCUGGCUCAACUGGGGGCGUGCGGUGGGUACGGGUUGACUUGAGUGCGGUAGGGGAGACUGGAAUUCCUGGUGUAGCGGUGGAAUGCGCAGAUAUCAGGAGGAACACCGGUGGCGAAGGCGGGUCUCUGGGCCGUUACUGACGCUGAGGAGCGAAAGCGUGGGGAGCGAACAGGAUUAGAUACCCUGGUAGUCCACGCUGUAAACGUUGGGCACUAGGUGUGGGGGCCACCCGUGGUUUCUGCGCCGUAGCUAACGCUUUAAGUGCCCCGCCUGGGGAGUACGGUCGCAAGGCUAAAACUCAAAGGAAUUGACGGGGGCCCGCACAAGCGGCGGAGCAUGCGGAUUAAUUCGAUGCAACGCGAAGAACCUUACCAAGGCUUGACAUGCACCCUGACGCUGCAGAGAUGUGGUGGCAUUUGGUUGGGGGUGUGCAGGUGGUGCAUGGUUGUCGUCAGCUCGUGUCGUGAGAUGUUGGGUUAAGUCCCGCAACGAGCGCAACCCUUGCCCUAUGUUGCCAGCACGUUAUGGUGGGGACUCGUGGGGGACUGCCGGGGUUAACUCGGAGGAAGGUGGGGAUGACGUCAAAUCAUCAUGCCCCUUAUGUCUUGGGCUUCACGCAUGCUACAAUGGUUGGUACAGAGUGUUGCGAUAUCGUAAGGUGGAGCGAAUCACUUAAAGCCAGUCUCAGUUCGGAUUGGGGUCUGCAACUCGACCCCAUGAAGGUGGAGUCGCUAGUAAUCGCAGAUCAGCAACGCUGCGGUGAAUACGUUCUCGGGCCU
rnacentral:rRNA from 1 species